AUGCUCAGCUGGGCAUCGAGUCCGUUGCUUCUUUGCCCCAGGCAGUCAGAGAAAGAGGGGAGAGAGGGAGGGGAGGGAAGGGAAGCGGAGCAGCAAAGUUGGGAAGGAAUCGCCCUUGAGCAGAAUAAGGGUUGGGGGGACCUGAUUGUCUCCAAGGGUCCUGCAAACUCUGUUUUUCUCUUCAAGGGAGAUUCCCUUCUAACUUUGCUGCUCCGCAUCCCCUUCCCUCCCCUCCUCCCGUCCCCGGGCUUCGGAGCAGGGAGACCCCCAGAGAAUGGGAGGAGCUGGACGGAGAGGGGAGGAGCUACAAGCACUUCCUGGCUGGGGUCGUUCCGGGGAGGGGGAUCCAUGUGCGAGGCCUGGAAGGAAGGAAACUUAGCCGGCGGGGCUGCGCGCAUCUCUUGGACCGAGGAACAGAGCCGCCAUUCCCUGCGGGCGUCAAACACUCUCAUGGCCUCGUCUUCAUCUCCUGGAACUUCAGUUCUUUGUAAAGGAGGAUUAACGGCGGUUGAGCUUCCAAUGCAGGAAUUGAUAUCGCUUGAGGAUGUAGCUGUGUUUUUCUCCGUGGAGGAGUGGGCCCUGCUGGAUUCUGAGCAAAAAGCCCUGUACCAAGAGGUCAUGCAGGAAACCAAGAGGAACUUGGCCUCCUUAGGCGAUGGAUGGGAGAUGGAGGAUUCUGGCCAAGAGGCAGCAGCACAUUUCCCAAAAGAGAAAAAGGAAGUUGCAGAAAAAAUUUAUGGAAAGCAAAGUUUGGAGGAAAACCAAUUAAAGGUUGAGCUGGAGAACUGCACUAGUUUACCUUCUGCAGAUACCAAUGUCUUAUUGGACACAGAUGAUUUCCAAGAAAAAGAAGUGUGUUCAAGGUGUGGGAAAACACUCCGAGAUGGAUUGGGAUUAUGUGACUGUUGCCAAAGUCCUACUGGAGAGAAACAAGAUGAAAGCAGGCAACACUUCAGAAGGACCCUUCCUCCUCCUUUACAUGAAAGAACACAAGAAGGAGGGGAAAUAUACAAAUGUACGGAUUGUGCAGAAAGCUUCAGUACAAGCCGCUCCCUUGCAUUGCAUAAAAAUAUUCACAAAGCAGAGAAUCCACACAAAUGUCUGGAUUGUGGAAGGACCUUCAGGCAGAAAAAUCAUGUUAGUUCAUAUAAGACGGUCCACGAAGAGAAGAAGCAGCAUCAAUGCAUUAAUUGGGGAAACAGCUUCGGAAGCAGUGCCUCCCUUACUUCCCAUCAAAGCCUCCACAGAGAGGAGAGUUUGCAUCAACACAGGGAGGGUAGAAUGAGGUUUCCUCAGAGCAAGGAACCAAAUUCCCGGAAAAAAAGCCCCACUGAGAAGAAAUCAUGUAAAUGCCUGGAAUGUGGGAAGAGCUUCUGCUCUCCAAGUAAGCUCAUUUACCAUAAUAGGAUCCAUACAGGGGAAAAGCCGUAUCAUUGCACAGUGUGUGGAAAGAGCUUCACCCAAAAAGGCUAUUUCAAUUUACAUAAUAGGAUCCAUACUGGAGAGAAGCCAUAUCAUUGCAUUUUGUGUGGAAAGAGCUUCACCCUAAAAGGCCAUUUCAAUUUACAUAAUAGGAUCCACACUGGAGAGAAGCCGUGUAAAUGCACAGAGUGUGGAAAAUGCUUCAGGACCUCCAGUGAACUUACUUGCCAUAAGAAGAUUCACACAGGGGAGAAACCCUAUGAAUGCUUGGAGUGUGGAAAAAGCUUCGCCAGAAGUAGUGCUCUAACCUUACAUAAUCGGAGGCAUAAAGGGGAGAAACCUUAUAAAUGCCUGCACUGUGGAAAGAGCUUCAGUCAAAAAGGUAGUCUAAAGUCACACGAGAGGAUCCACACAGGGGAAAAACCAUUUCAAUGCAUGGAGUGUGGAAAGAGCUUCCGUACUUCAACAAGCCUUACUUCCCAUCACAGAAUCCACACGGGGGAGAAGCCCUUUCAAUGCCUGCAGUGUGGAAAGUGCUUCAGUCACCCAAGUAGUUUUACUCUCCAUAAAAGGAGCCACACGGGUGAAAAGCCUUACAAGUGCAUCGAAUGUGGCAAAUGCUUCGCUCAAUUGGGGCAUCUCUCUUGCCACAAAAGGCUCCACACUGGGGAGAAACCAUAUGAAUGCCACAUUUGUGGAAAGAGCUUCAAUGAAAAAAAAAGCUAUAUCGUACAUAGCAGAACCCACACUGGGGAGAAACCAUAUCAGUGCCAGGAGUGUGGAAAAUGCUUCAGGGAUUCUGGAGCACUGACAAUCCAUAAAAGGAUUCACACAGGCGAGAAACCCUAUAAGUGCACAGAGUGUGACAUGAGUUUCCGUUUUUCUAGUAACCUUGGUACCCACAAGAGGAUCCACACUGGGGAGAAGCCGUAUACAUGUCAUGAGUGUGGAAAAAGCUUUAGACAUAAUGAUACACUCAGAAGCCAUAGAACGCUUCACUCAGGGAAGAAACCCUAUAAAUGCCUAGAGUGUGGAAAAUGUUUUAGUAUGAGUGGCCACCUUACCUCCCACCAUAGGCUCCACACAGGAGAGAAGCCAUUUAAAUGCAUCGUGUGUGGAAAGAGUUUUCGAGAAGGGAAGAAGCUUACACUCCAUAAAAGAAUCCACACAGGGGAGAAACCCUAUAAAUGCCUGGAGUGUGGAAAAUGCUAUAAUCAGAGUGGCAAUCUUUCCUCCCACAUGAGGAUCCACACAGGGGAGAAGCCGUAUCAGUGUGUGGAGUGUGGAAAGAAAUUCAGAACCGGUAGUAACCUUACUCAACAUAAGAAAACGCACAGCAGGAAAAGAUGACCUGAAUUGGUUUGUGUUGACUCUCAACAUUUGCUUAACGCCCCUAGAAGUGUUCCAGGAGAAUCUGUAGAAACCCUUGGAGUAUUGGAAGGGCUUCCAAAGCAGCAGAAGCUUUUUGAUCCAUUAAAAAUAAGAGUUGGCUUGUAUAACUAGGAACUAACUUUUGGACAUUAGAUCUUUGUGCUAGAGUCAAAUAGAAUAGAAAUUGAAUAGAAUUUCUUCUCCCAGCUACCCUUUCUCUCUUGAUCAGCUUUGGUGACUUACUUAUACAGGCAAGCACAAACAUGCACUCAUAACUCCUUCAGUCCUCCUCUCUCAUACAAUCAGACACACAAAAUCUUAGGUUUGAGUUUUCUGAGCUCAAAAUAUGAAUAUUGCAUCCAGUUUUGGUCGCCACGAUGUAAAAAAGAUGUUGAGACUCUAGAAAGAGUGCAGAGAAGAGCAACAAAGAUGAUUAGGGGACUGGAGACGAAAACGUAUGAAGAACGGUCCCUUCCAACUCUGUUAUUAUGUUAUGUUAUGAUUUGCAACUAGGAUGGCAUGCCUUUUUAUGGUAUGGGAGAAGUAAGAUACAUACGUACUUUCAUAGACAUUACAUAAGAAAUGCACUGCUAUUGGCAUGGGAGAAGUUCAGAGAUAAAUACUGUAUCAAAAUUCCAACAUGGUUAUCAACAAUGGAGGCUUUAAUACAGCCAAAUACUUUAAAUCUUAGAAAUAUUGUUAGGUAUAAGGUUAACAGAUGGGAGGGUGGGGAAUUGAAACAGAAACAAGAUUUGGAAGAACGGGAUUGAGUUAAAUUGGUAUAUGUAUAUGCAAAUACAACCAAGAUAUCAGAAAUAUGUUAAACUCGAUGGUUUUUAUUUAGAAAAGAGUGAGGUGGAUAGGAUUCUCUCAGGAAUGGAGGACAAAUUAAUUUUAAAAAAUAUAACUUUUUGUUGGGGAUUGAGUUAGAAGAGGAACGAGUAAAGAAAAUUAUGAUAGCUUGGGCUAAAAAAAUUGGAUUUUCAAUAGACCUAGAUAAAGAAAAUCAAUAGAAAAUGUUUUAUAGAUGGUAUGUGCCACCUGAGAAACUGGCAAAAAUGUUUAAAGAUAAAUCAGCUAAACGUUGGAAAUGUCAUCAGUUACCAGGAUCUUAUUAUCAUAUGUGGUGGACAUGUCCGGAAGCCAAAAACUAUUGGGAGAAAAUAAAGGGUUGGUUAGAAGAAAUGACCCAACAACAUAUUGAUUCAAAACCAGAGUUCUUUUUAUUGGGGAUCCUACCAGAGAAAAUUAAUUAAAAGAAAAUAUUUGAUUAUACAUGUAAUUACAGCAGUAAGAAUUAUUUUUGCAGAAAAUUGGAAUGCAGAGAAAAUAUGCCUUGAAGGAGAAAUGAUUAGAAAAAUUUUAGACUGUGCAGAAAUGAACAGAUUAACUUUGAUGAGAAGAUUCAGAAUAUUUUAAGAUAUGGGAUAAAUUUUAUUAUUGGUUAGAAGAAAGGUAUAGAUGAGCAAUGGAUAAUUAUGUAAGAAAAUGAUAAUAAUGUAUUUGCGGAAAAAUGGUAAUAGUUUAAAUUGAAGUGAAGAAAGAAGAAACAACAAAAGAUGGAGCCAGGAAAAAAACACCGAGACAUCACACAAAACAUGAUGUUUUAAAU